AACGAACGCUGGCGGCAGGCCUAACACCUGCAAGUCGAGCGCCCCGCAAGGGGAGCGGCGGACGGGUGAGUAACACGUGGGAACGUACCCUUUGCUACGGAAUAGUCUCGGGAAACUGGGGGGUAAUACCGUAUGUGCCCUUCGGGGGAAAGAUUUAUCGGCAAAGGAUCGGCCCGCGUUGGAUUAGGUAGUUGGUGGGGUAAUGGCCUACCAAGCCGACGAUCCAUAGCUGGUUUGAGAGGAUGAUCAGCCACACUGGGACUGAGACACGGCCCAGACUCCUACGGGAGGCAGCAGUGGGGAAUCUUAGACAAUGGGCGCAAGCCUGAUCUAGCCAUGCCGCGUGAGCGAUGAAGGCCUUAGGGUUGUAAAGCUCUUUCAGUGGGGAAGAUAAUGACUGUACCCACAGAAGAAGCCCCGGCUAACUCCGUG
rnacentral:rRNA from 1 species